AUACGGAGGGUGCAAGCGUUACUCGGAAUCACUGGGCGUAAAGCGCGCGCAGGCGGCUAUUUAAGUUGGAUGUGAAAGCCUAUGGCUCAACCAUAGAACUGCAUCCAAAACUAUUUAGCUAGAGUGUGGGAGAGGAAGAUGGAAUUAGUUGUGUAGGGGCAAAAUCCGUAGAGAUAACUAGGAAUACCAAAAGCGAAGGCAAUCUUCUGGAACACUACUGACGCUGAGGCGCGAAAGCGUGGGGAGCAAACAGGAUUAGAAACCCUAGUAGUCC
rnacentral:rRNA from 1 species